ACUGCUUUAAGAAGAACCGGUGGUUGCAUCUUGCUUGCUGGUCGAGUUGGACUCGACAAAUGGUGCCAAAGAAAUCUGGGACCUGAUUCCCCCACCGAAGAGGUUCAGAACUUUCUGCAGUCAGGGUCUGUCGACAGGAUGAGUAUGGUGUGCCUAUGCCUGCUUUCAUGUCUGCUCAUGUGGAGGCCACAGUAGAAGAAGAAAACCAACUCCUGUAAGUUGUCAUAUGAUCCACACAUGCCAUAGCAGGAAAGGCAGUGAAUCCUUAGCAGAGCGGGGACUGGCUUCUUCUGAAGCAGGCUGGCAGAGAAGUAAUCACCAAAGUUCCUG